GCAUCUUCACCUGGGGGUUUGUACACUACGUGCAGAAAAAGUAACUAAGAAAGACUAGCCCUAUGAGGUCAUUGGGGAAGACCUAAAGCUCCUCAUUGGACGGGCAAGAAAACCCACACAUCAUCAGGGUUACGAGACCUGCUCCUAGUCACGUAGCUAGCCAGGACAGAGCUGAGACUCAAACCAGAACUUCUGAUUCCAAAGCCAGUUCUCUUUCCACUACAGUGCCCAGCCUCUGGGCAUUAGCAUUGCCAUGUCCCACAGGCUUCCACAAUUCUAAGAUCAGAUAGGACUUUAGAUUCCAAAUAGGCAUACAGGGACUGCCUGUUCCCCUCUCUCUAUUCAUAGGUACUUGGGAUUGUGGGCCCAUAGGGCAUUCUGCCCAUGCUUCAGUGCUUUCGGAUAUGGCUCCCCUCCCCCAAGGACUCCUUCUGCCACGGGGUCAGACUGGCUCGAACAUAGACUAAAGUGCCUUUCUACAGAUUUGCUUCCACGUCUCCCCCAGGACUAGGCUGGGAAUGCCAUCUACCCACUGCACUCCGGAAGCCCAGAGAUCCCAGGGAUUCUGUGCUUGGUAGAUGCCUAUCAUGGAAACUAAACAUGACACUUGAGUGAACAUCAGGGUGUGCUAAAUCUCUGAAGUAAGAUGCUCAGUGCAAACUGUGAAAGCAGAUAACAUACAGCACUCAGAAAGUCAUAGAUUGUCCAAGCCUGAUAGGAAUUGAGGCCUCAUCUAGUCUGAACUAUUUAUUUUGCAGAGGAGGAGAUCUGGGCACAGAAAUAGGAACAAAAUGUCCAGGCCAUGGUGGUAGUGGUUGUGGGGUGUCUCCUAGGUCCCAUUGUCCUGUCCUUUCCAUCAUACUUAUCAUUCACAUCUUUCUGGGGAACUAUCAUAAUUGAAGACCUCCUCUGGAGACCUACUGCUUCAGGCAUAGAAACCUGCUUAGACUAUCCACCAUGGUUGUGGGAAGUUGGUCUUUACUUAGGCCAUUGUUAGUGAUCAGGAACACCUUCCAAGGGUGGGACUUUAUGUAAAGAGCCUAAAGCCAGGACAUAUAGAUAUGUGAUCAGUUCUAGAGCUGUUCUGAGAACAGUGCUCACCACUGUUAGCAUAUAGAGGAAUGUGCUGGAGAGGCGAAAUAUCAUUAGGAUCCUGAGUCAAUCGAAGGCCAAAACCAGGAGAGGGGUUAUCAGUUGCAAGAGUUAAUUAACUCCUUAGGGGAAUUGGAGGAUAAGUAUUGCCCCUGGCUCCUCUACUGCUCUUAGCCCACUGCCCCUCUGUAAGUGGUGGGAAAUCUUGAAGAGACCAUACUGAGUUAAUCAGUUCCUGGAAGCUUUAAUGUCUUUAAAUCC
rnacentral:lncRNA from 1 species